rnacentral:lncRNA from 1 species
GGGGGGGGUGAGGGGGGUGAGGUUGUGAUGGCGAAUAACUCUGUGAGCUAUAGUUUAUCUCACAAUGUCAUGCUAAGUUGCCACUUACAAUGGAGUACGAUAGAUUGGUAUCGUUAUGUAAUAAAAUGAGUGUGAGAAAACGUUCGGUGAACCUUAAAGUAAUCGGAAGAUAUCCGUAUUCCGUCACUACGCAAGGGGUUGCUUGUUACGCUGAGUUUAACAUCGACGAUGAUGAAACUUUGAGGGAUUUUUUGAGAAUUCCAGAUAAAUACCGGAAAUUUCUUGUAAUAAAAAUAUUGAAAAUGUACGUCAAGGUCGAAGACGUUCGCAAUAAUGAGGUUGCGCAUAGUAGGGAUAACCCUCAGUCAUCGGGUGGUUAUUCUGGAGCAGUUUUUGCCGGACAAGUUCCGUAUGAAAGAGUUUGCCCUGAUUUAAACUUAUCACCACGGGCGAAUGAGGAGCGAGGAAAUAAUUUCUCUCCUGCUUUACAUAAUCUACAAGACGAGUGGUAAACUUUAAUUUUUCUUAGUGUUACGAUAUAUAUUUUUGCUGUAUUGAAUUUGUAUUAACACUCAUAUAUUCCACAGGGGGUACCGGCUCGAUAUGACUUUUACAAGUUAUGAACCCACGCCCAAUUGGAAUAUGCGUAGUUCUGGUGUGUUGGAUCAUGGUGGUCCAUCCGGGAGUCAUCACCAACAGAAUAAUGUCCAUCAAGGAAUGUCAACACGUUACGACUUAUAAAUGAAGUGAUACAGCUAUAUGGAAAGUAUUUAUUAAUUUCAGUAGCAUAUUAUUUUGUUAUUUGUGCAGUGAAAACGAGCAAGUUGAACCACCUGUCCUCACUCAAUUGCCCGAAGACGACAUAUUAAAUCGGGAUCUGGCAGAUGCACAGAGUGAGGAAGAGAACAGUGAUUAUGACAACAAUGCCGAUGAUUCCGGAGACGACACACCCUUCCCUCGUGAGGAUGGUGAUGAGGAGGAAGAGAAUGAAGGACCUUAAUUGGACAGAGUAUAUACCUAUGGGUUCCAGGCUCGAUAUUUGAUGCCCAGUAGGACCAAGCUAUCCUGAAUUCUUGUAUGUGUCAAUUUUAUUAUUUUCGUAAUUUUGUAUAUUUAUUUUGUAAAUUAAAUAAUUAAUUUUUAUCAUAUUUAAUUGGACAGAGUAUAUACCUAUGGGUUCCAGGCUCGAUAUUUGAUGCCCAAUAGGACCAAGCUAUCCUGAAUUCUUGUGUGUGUCAAUUUUUAUUAUUUUCGUAAUUUUGUAUGUUUGUUUUGUAAAUUAAAUAAUUAAUUUUU